rnacentral:rRNA from 1 species
UACGUAGGGUGCGAGCGUUGUCCGGAAUUAUUGGGCGUAAAGAGCUUGUAGGUGGCUCGUCGCGUCGGGAGUGAAAACCCGCGGCUUAACCGCGGGCCUGCUUUCGAUACGGGCGGGCUAGAGUUCGGCAGGGGAGACUGGAAUUCCUGGUGUAGCGGUGGAAUGCGCAGAUAUCAGGAGGAACACCGGUGGCGAAGGCGGGUCUCUGGGCCGAUACUGACACUGAGAGACGAAAGCUAGGGGAGCGAAUGGG